GAGGGAGAUUUAAAAAUGUGAACCAGGAAAGGAAGAAAGAUGAAAACCACUUAAAACUCACGCAUGUAAUUUCAAGAUCUCUGUACCCAUAUACUGAAGUUUGGGAGACAUAACGGACACAGGUGCUGGCUGCAGCGCCACCUCAGGAAGAGCUGUGAAGUGCAGCGUGUCUGCCUUCCCCAUGGUCCCAUUGCCAUGCUCUCAACUAUCCGUGAGGACGAGAAGGAAGAUGUGAGGAAGGAGGAGAGGAGAGAAGGAAGAGAGGAAGCCAGCAACUCACGGAGCACCGUCUACCACCAUCUACAACGUGCCGGCCUCCUCCGAUCCAUUGACAUGGUGUUGGGCACACACAUACUGGUUCAGAGUCCACUCUUGGCUGACCUGGGCGAUGGCCUCAGUUUCUUUACAUGGUGAAGAGGGGCCGCAGUCUCAUCUUGUGAAUGAAGCCAUGGGUGACUGGGGACGUGAUGUGGCCCAUGAGAUUUGUGAAGGGGCCAGCGUUGUGCCAGCAUCCCAUAUUGGUACCAGUUCUGGUUCCGGCUGCUCCUCUUACAAUCCAGUUCUCUGCUCAUGGCCUGGGAACGUAGUAGAAGAUGGCCCAAGUGCUUGGACCCCUGUAGCCACGUGGGAGACCUGGAAGAAGCUCCUGGCUCCUGGUUUCAGAUUGACCCAGCUCUGGUCAUUGCAGAUAUUUGGGGAAAGAAUCAGCGAAUGGAAGACUUCUCUCUCUCUCUUUCUCUCUCUCUCUCUCUCUCUCUCUCUCUCUCUCUCUCUGCUUCUC